rnacentral:rRNA from 1 species
GACGAACGCUGGCGGCGUGCUUAACACAUGCAAGUCGAACGGAAAGGCCCUGCUUUUGUGGGGUGCUCGAGUGGCGAACGGGUGAGUAACACGUGAGUAACCUUCCCUUGACUUUGGGAUAACUUCAGGAAACUGCGGCUAAUACCUGAUAGGAGCUCCUGCUGCAUGGUGGGGGUUGGAAAGUUUCGGCGGUUGGGGAUGGACUCGCGGCUUAUCAGCUUGUUGGUUGGGUAGUGGCUUACCAAGGCUUUGACGGGUAGCCGGCCUGAGAGGGUGAACGGCCACAUUGGGACUGAGAUACGGACCAGACUCCUACGGGAGGCAGCAGUGGGGAAUAUUGCACAAUGGGCGGAAGCCUGAUGCAGCAACGCCGCGUGCGGGAUGACGGCCUUCGGGUUGUAAACCGCUGUCGCCUGUGACGAAGCGUGAGUGACGGUAAUGGGUAAAGAAGCACCGGCUAACUACGUG